rnacentral:rRNA from 1 species
ACGAACGCUGGCGGCGUGCUUAACCCAUGCAAGUCGAACGCGCCUGUCCUCUGGGUUUCUGGGGGGUGGGUGAGUGGCGAACGGGUGAGUAACACGUGAGUAACCUGCCCCCUUCUUCGGGAUAACGGUCUGAAAGGGCUGCUAAUACCGGGUAUUCACUGGUCUCCGCAUGGGGUCUGGUGGAAAGGUUUUUUUCUGGUGGGGGAUGGGCUCGCGGCCUAUCAGCUUGUUGGUGGGGUGAUGGCCCACCAAGGCUUUGACGGGUAGCCGGCCUGAGAGGGUGACCGGUCACAUUGGGACUGAGAUACGGCCCAGACUCCUACGGGAGGCAGCAGUGGGGAAUAUUGCACAAUGGGCGCAAGCCUGAUGCAGCGACGCCGCGUGAGGGAUGGAGGCCUUCGGGUUGUGAACCUCUUUCGCCCGUGGUCAAGCCGCGACGUGGGUCGUGGUGAGGGUAGUGGGUAAAGAAGCGCCGGCUAACUACGUG